UACGGAGGGGGCUAGCGUUGUUCGGAAUUACUGGGCGUAAAGCGUACGUAGGCGGCUUUGUAAGUUAGAGGUGAAAGCCCGGGGCUCAACCUCGGAAUUGCCUUUAAGACUGCAUCGCUUGAAUCGCGGAGAGGUGAGUGGAAUUCCGAGUGUAGAGGUGAAAUUCGUAGAUAUUCGGAAGAACACCAGUGGCGAAGGCGGCUCACUGGACGCGUAUUGACGCUGAGGUACGAAAGCGUGGGGAGCAAACAGG
rnacentral:rRNA from 1 species